AUCCUGGCUCAGGAUGAACGCUAGCGGCAGGCCUAACACAUGCAAGUCGAGGGGUAGAUGUCUUCGGAUAUCGAGACCGGCGCACGGGUGCGUAACGCGUAUGCAACCUGCCUUCCACAAAGGGAUAGCCCAGAGAAAUUUGGAUUAAUACCUUAUAGCAUUGCGGAAUGGCAUCAUUUCGUAAUUAAAGAUUUAUCGGUGGAAGAUGGGCAUGCGUCCCAUUAGCUUGUUGGUAAGGUAACGGCUUACCAAGGCAAUGAUGGGUAGGGGUCCUGAGAGGGAGAUCCCCCACACUGGUACUGAGACACGGACCAGACUCCUACGGGAGGCAGCAGUGAGGAAUAUUGGACAAUGGGCGCAAGCCUGAUCCAGCCAUGCCGCGUGCAGGAUGAAGCAUCUAUGGUGUGUAAACUGCUUUUAUACGGGAAGAAACCCCGCCUCGUGAGGCGGACUGACGGAACCGUAAGAAUAAGGACCGGCUAACUCCGUGCCAGCAGCCGCGGUAAUACGGAGGGUCCAAGCGUUAUCCGGAAUCAUUGGGUUUAAAGGGUCCGUAGGCGGCCUUGUAAGUCAGUGGUGAAAUCUCCCGGCUCAACCGGGAAAUGGCCAUUGAUACUGCAGGGCUUGAAUUAUUGGGAAGUAACUAGAAUAUGUAGUGUAGCGGUGAAAUGCUUAGAUAUUACAUGGAAUACCGAUUGCGAAGGCAGGUUACUAUCAAUAUAUUGACGCUGAUGGACGAAAGCGUGGGUAGCGAACAGGAUUAGAUACCCUGGUAGUCCACGCCGUAAACGAUGGAUGCUAGCCGUUGGCGAGCUUGCUCGUCAGUGGCGCAGCUAACGCAUUAAGCAUCCCGCCUGGGGAGUACGGUCGCAAGAUUAAAACUCAAAGGAAUUGACGGGGGCCCGCACAAGCGGUGGAGCAUGUGGUUCAAUUCGAAGCAACGCGCAGAACCUUACCAACCUUUGACAUCCCGAUCGCGGACACCAGAGAUGGAGUCCUUCAGUUCGGCUGGAUCGGAGACAGGUGCUGCAUGGCUGUCGUCAGCUCGUGUCGUGAGAUGUUGGGUUAAGUCCCGCAACGAGCGCAACCCUCGCCCUUAGUUGCCACCAUUCAGUUGGGCACUCUAAGGGGACUGCCGGUGAUAAGCCGGAGGAAGGUGGGGAUGACGUCAAGUCCUCAUGGCCCUUACAGGUUGGGCUACACACGUGCUACAAUGGCGGUGACAGAGGGACGCAAUGGAGCAAUCCUGCGCAAAUCUCGAAAAACCGUCUCAGUUCGGAUUGGGGUCUGCAACUCGACCCCAUGAAGUUGGAAUCGCUAGUAAUCGCAGAUCAGCACGCUGCGGUGAAUACGUUCCCGGGCCUUGUACACACCGCCCGUCACACCAUGGGAGUUGGUUUUACCUGAAGACGGUGCGCUAACCGCAAGGGGGCAGCCGGCCACGGUAGGGUCAGCGACUGGGGUGAAGUCGUAACAAGGUA
rnacentral:rRNA from 1 species